CUUGCCUGUAAUAAUCCUAUAUUUCACAGUAAUCCCUAAAUAUUCCUAGAGAAGACUGAGGUGUAAACAGGUAAAAUGAUUGCACAAUCUGAAUGGGUAAAAAGUAGAAGAGAAAGGAUUUUUAUUCUUGUUCUGAUGCCAACUCCCUUGCUUUUGGCAGCAGACUGAUGUGCUUCUCUAUGAAGUGAAAACAGUGACAUUGGCUGGCUGAAUCUGUCUGUUCUGACAGAGCUAAGAGUGGCAGAAAUCUGAAAAUUAGGAUAUGCCUUCAAAAGAUUUACAGAAUGAACAUACAAAUUAUUUCAAGAAGAAGGAAAAUCAUCUAAGAUUCCAGCCUCCUUGAAUUCUAGAAAUCUCUGCUAAUUUCUAACCUGUCUCUUUUGUGUACCUACAGCAACUCAGUGUUUCAUUUUUGAUGGUAAUUCUUUGGUCACCUGCUAUUUGUGCAAUGCACUUUAUUUUGUCUGCUUAUUAUUCAAUGAGUUUUUAAGGAUCGAGUCAUCUUAAUAGUUAUUCAAAGUAGAUUUAGAGAGGCAAGGCCAAAUAUUUCUCCUUUCCUUAACUGGUAGGACUUUAUAAAAAUCUAUUUGACAAUGUUCUCAAUUUUUCUGCUUGUAUUGUGUCCAUAGCUCAAGUCUGGGUAACACAUUGUUUGCUUUUCUUCAAAAUUGUUUGCUUUUCUUCAAAAAGAAACUUCAACAGAGUUUCUGCUGCUACAGAAGGGUUCUACAUUUGUGCUGUCUGAUAUGGUCAUCAUGUGCCACUAUGGAGCACCACCAGCUCUGCAUCAUUUGCUAUGGAGCACUAAAAUAUGGCUCAUGUGACUGGGGAACUGAGUGUUUAAUUUGAACUUAAUUUUAAAUUAAACUAAAUUUCAUAUAAAUUUAAACAGCCAUAUGUGGCUGGUAGCUACCAUGUUGGAUAGUACAGCUAUAGAAAAUGCAUCUCUAAAAUUGAAUAAACCUCCGUUUCCCACAAAACUCCUUGUGGACCUCUCAUUUUAUUGCAUUAUUCAUUUCAUUUUAAAGAAUAUUUCAGAGUAGACUUCUUUUUUUUUUUUUUUUUUUUUUUUCUUGCUUCUUAGAGGUAAACAGAUAAGCAAGCCUUAAUUCAGGGAAGAAAUGCUUUUGCAAAAGCUCAAUAUUUCAGGCCAAAGUGUCCAUUUGUCUUUAGUAAUAUCUGGCUUUGAAAUUUUGUUGCUGUUGGCACUUAAUGAAGGUUUAAUUUCCAUGCUUUGGUGACGGUAUCGAUACACAUUAGCAGUGUGUGCGGUACACACAGCGUCAAGCAAACAGCCACAUGCAUCAAGGUUUGUGCUUAACAGUCCUGCCUCAGGAUCCCUGUGGAUUCCUUGAGUAUCCUUUUAAAGACUCUACUAUCUGUUCUAUGAGAGGAACAGAUGCAUCUUUCUAUAUAGUGCAAUCAGCCAAGUUCAGGAGAGGGAAGGCCAGAUGCUGUUCAUAUUUCUUUCAGAGUGUAGCGUAUAUCAGUGGUACUUAAAACCCAUCUUCUCAACAGCUAGCACCUCUUUUUUAAAAAUUGGUUUCCAUUUUGGCUGUUUGAGAUCAGGAACAAUGGAGCUUUCCUUUGAGGUAAUCUCUUUCAUUGUUUAUUGGCCUUUUUAAGGCAGUGCUUUAAGGUAUACUCGUAUUUUUAUUUUAAAACCUGAUUUUCAGAAGUUUCUAUUUCUAUGAGGAAAACAGCUGUCUUAUCUUUAGUCCUUUGAAAAUGAGACAAUGAUUUUAUAUUAAAGUAAAUACUUUUGCUCACAGUA